AGCAACUGGGAGGAGCACCAAAAGGUCACAGAGUGGUCAGUUUUUCAAAGAGGGACAUGCCAGAACCACAAAGCCAGGCAAGACUUAUUGACUGCAUCCUUAAAAGAUUCUCUGCUGCAGGAAUUCUUAGUGGGGGGGGUGACGAGGAGCAAAACAAGCAGCUGCACAUGGCAUCAGCUUUCCUACACAAGGUUGUUGUGAUUACCCACCUUUGUGCAGUAAAUGGUGUUUUAUAAAUGGCCAUCAGCAUACCCACCUCCAGAAGGAGGUCUGUGGGCUGGCUGAGAGCAGUAGUGCUUGUUGCCAGCACUGUGGUAAGCUGUGCUGCAGGGCUGGGGAGGGUCCUGCCUCAGCCCCCAAAGGCUGGGAGCUGGCUCAGCUCUUGACAUCUGUUCCUUUUCUGUAGUAAUCACUGGGAGAGGCCUUUGCAUGUCAAGUCCCUGUUGCUGCUUGCAGUUUUGUAAUGUUUCCACACUUACAAGCUGAGGUAUCUGAUUAUUUUAAAGGGCAUUCACACAUGCAGUUCCUAUAUUUAUUGUCUGUUUUACUGUGAACUUUUAGUCGAAGGGAAUAAUCUGUCUAAAAUUACUCUCAGCUUUUGACCAGUGGAGCUGAAAAUACUAAUUGUAUAAUUGAGUGAAAGAUGUUGUAUUUUCUGCUAUUGUAUUUUGCUUUCCUUGGUAAAAUGGCAAAAUUAUCUUGAUUGUCACACUUAUCACUGUUACUGCUGAAACAGCCUUGGGUUAACUCCCUUGAUUUUACUUAUUUACUGCCAUGCCAAUUGUUUUGGGAUUCUCUUCAGUCAACAAAUUUGUGACACUGAAUUUCUGGUCAUUUCUGUGUGGCAGUCUGUGUUUAUUUCAUUGGGUUUGGCUAAACUGAAUGUUCAACAGCAUAUUCUGUUAUCCCCCAUGUUUUCCCUAGUUGGUUCCUCCCUAAAUUGUGCCCUCCUUUCCAGCUGUCCCUCAGGUUGUCUCCUCCCUUUGUUCCAGACCCUUACUUGCCUAUCAAGGCAACCCUACCCCUUCUGCCCUGUCUGUCAAGGCAACCCUGCCCUUUGUUCCAGAAUGUUCCCUGCCAGUUAUCCCAUGGACCAAUCCCCUGUUGAGCCUCUUCUCCUUCUGUUAUCCUGAUUCAAUGUUAUCCCAAAACCACACCCUGAGUGUCACCUUAUUGGUUGUUCCAUUGUAUCCCCCCCCCCAUUUUUUGAGGCUCUAUAAUCCCCUGCACAGAGGUGCUUAGGGCUUUCUCUGCCUGUGAUCCUUUCAACCUUAGUUCUUCCUGUACUCCUACCACCUCAACAAACGGGUUGGAGCUUCACCACAAGAGUAUCCAAUGCCUUCUUCACCCAGUCCCUGCCGUGGCAUCUCAGAGCACCGCUUUAGAGCAGUGAGCUUUAAGGUUCUGCCCUUGGCACUCCCCCAGCCAGGGCAGUUCCCCACACUCGCUGCUGCUCCGGAACACCAAAGAGCUAGCCUGAGCUCUCCAGCAGGCAGUGGCAUUUCUGCAUAGUUCACUACUGAGUAUUCAUCACCAGAUGCUUUUGAACUUGCUGCUUCUAUUGUUGAAGUUAAUGAGAUGGGAGUGUUCUUCCCAGCCAGAGUUCUCCUCAGCUCAGGGAACUUUUAAUCCCAUGUCUCUGACAUCAUGGUCCAUUGCCAUGACAAUGUCUUAUGGGCUGUGCAGCCAACAGCCUGGUUUUCUGCAGGAAUUUUAUAUGUGAAAGAAUGAAAUCAGAGGGAACAUUAACACUUAUUGGCUGUGCACUCAUACAAAUAUAUGUAGAAAAAGAAAUUGUAGAAGAAUGCAAAAGCUGGAAAUCCAGAAGUUAUUUGGGUUUUGUAUUUAAGGUGUGGGCUUGAAGCAGAGGAAAAUUCUACUUUGUUUGUAUUCUAAAUUCCUAGCUCUUGGUCUUGUGCUGGACCUGGUCAGCAUAACUUUGUCCAGCCAGCAUACUGCCAGUGCCUUGUAUUCAUGGAUAUUAAGUUGCUGGUUGUCUUGGUUUGGGGUUGUUGUUGUUCACGACUUUUCUGUGCUUUUCCCGAAUUUAGAUAGUUGAAAGGUGAGAGAACAAGGCUCAGAAAAAGUCUCCUUGUCUUUUCUUCUCUAGAUGUUCUGUCCUUAAUUUUCUAGCAAACAGAUAAAAUCCCCAGCCUCUUGAAUUAUUCAUUCAAAUUAUACUGCACAUUUUCCUUCUUCAAGCUUUCUUCAGGUUCCUACUGAACUGAAAAUAAUCAGUAAUGUACUCUGAUUUUUAAGAUAAUUUUUAUAUGCACUAAAGUGUCCUCUGAAAAGCACUGUCUGUCCUCUAAGGAAAAAAAUGCUUGUGCUGAAACCUGUCCUGUUAGAACAGAAUUUCCUUUGUUAAACUGCACUGAUUUAAUUGACUGUGUUUAAAUGAAACCUAUUGCAAUUAGUCACAUCUCAUCCAUAGCUAAUUUAUAGAAGGAAAGUCUUUAGUCAUAUGAUAGUGGAGCUCAUUAUGUAUUACGGGUUCCUGAUUCAUGAUACAAACUAAUGUUCAGUCUUUAAAAGAAUUUUAGUUUAUUUUUGCACUUGUGAAGAAGUCUUUGCCUGUGGGAAGCUAAGGAAAAGGGCAAGAAUACACACUCUGUACUUGUAACUCUCUCAUCGUGACCAAUGUGAUCUUAUUUGACACCGAUAUUUGGUUGAAUCUCCUGAAAAUGAUGGGUUGGAGUACAUGACCUGAUGUAAGCCAGUUGCAUAAAAUAUGCCCAGACCUGGCAAAACUAAUUUCUCCCUAUAUAAAAAGCCAACCUGCAAAAUGUGCUUUUGUCUGGUAAGGCAGACCACUGCUGCAUGAAUUAAAUGCACAAUUUCCUUGAUGACAACAUUUUGUUUAAGGUGGUGAAUUGCUCUCUGCUUUGCCAAUUUAUGACCUUAUUUCCCUCUGGGCAUCCCUUUAGGCUUACCUGCUUGCCAAGAUACGAGAAUUGAAUCAUCUGGUAGUACUUGAGCUGCACAUCUCACCACAAUAACUGGCUGAUGGUCAUGCUGACUCAGCUGCUUCUGUGUGUUAUACCCCUAAGCUUGUUACAUUUACUUAAUUAAUUCAUUCCUGCUUUCAGACUUUGGAAGCUGAUAAGGGGAGGUUGCCCUUAGCUCAGUUCCUAUUUCUUAACUUAAACAUUUGAUUAAAUUUAAUAAUAAAACUGCAUUAGUCCUUUGAACUCGUAUCUACCCGUGAUUCAGAGGAUUAGAAGAAGUCAGUCCAAUCUUUUAAAGAGGUUUUUGCAGUUUUGAGAGUAUCUUUUAUCUCAGGGACACACAUUGUUGUGUUAGCCCCCUUCCUUUGUCAUUUUCUGAAGGUCACCUCAAGUUUUGCAAGGCUGGAGGGAAUGGCUGCAGCCACCUCAUCUGCCAGCUGCCUCCCUCAGGCCCUCGAGCUGAGCUUGCUUGUGGGUUCCACACUGGAGGGGCUUAUUCUGCCUUUUUUUUUUUUGUAAUGAGUUCUCCAACAAAGCCCCUACAAAAUAGCUGUGUUGUGGAAAACAAAUAUAUAAUGUGCUUCUUGCUUAAGUGCUCUUUCACUUCAGCAGACUGACAACCAUCAAUAAGCCCUAUCUCUGUACAGUCCACAGAUGCCACCGAGGUCAUACUGGGUUGGCUAAGCACAAAAGUUUGAAUAUCCCUGAAUUCCUCAGAUGCCUGAUGAAUUAACAGGGACAAUUGACAAAAAAGAGACCUUUCUCUCCACCCACCAGAAGUCACUUCAAAAUCUGCACCUGGUCUAAUCUUUACUACUUGAACUAAUUGCUAUUUGCAGCGGCAUAUGGAAAAAAGCUCUUUUGCCCAAUGAUAUUUCAGGCUACAAGGACAUUUCAUAUUACUUGUUCAUUUUGGAGAGUGCCUACACAUUGCAAUCAUUUUUCUUUGUGGGAGCUGUGGUUCAUAAAAAAACAAAAACAAACAAACAAACAAAAAAAACCAAAACAAAAAAACCCCCAAACACCCCCCCCCCCCCAGAAAAAAACCAAACCAAAAAACAAAACCAGAUAGCAAGUGACUCAAGUGACUCUGAGAAAGCAAGGGAAUUUUCAUAUUAAAAGCUUCCUGAGAAAAGGACCAGAGAACAUCACACUUUGCUCAUCUUCUUGAAUAAUUCAUAUAUACUUGCACAAAAAUCUGAAGGAGUUUUUGGUCUAUGUGGGCAAUGUGUAAAAGUGGAAGCUUUAUUUAUUUUUGAGUAGACUUUUCAAAUUCAUUUUCCUUUUGAUACACACACAGUAUGUGAUGUUGCUAAUAUUUUACCAAUAAGCUUUGAGAAGACAUGGCUUUCAUGGCCACAAGGUAUCAAUGCAAUCUGCAUCUCUGAAGCCUGGUGUAGUAUAGUACAAUUUCCAAAUGUGUUCAUACAGUGGCUUAUUAUGCUUAUGAAUGUUUAUGAAAGCACUCAAUCUUGCCAUGAAGAUUCAAGAAAACAAUCUAUUGUUACAAUACCCUAAAGAGUGCAGUUUGUGGCUGCUGCAAAACAUAAUUUACCUGCUUUUUCUAGAGAAGCAGAUUUCUAUUCUUGUUCAUCAACAGCUUGGAGAUACCAGGUCUUAGCAAGGUACAUCCAAGUCCCUCUAGAUGGUGUUUGGCCCUGCAUCUCUCAUCUCCCGGACAGAGGCUGUAAUCUGCAUUUCAACUGGAACAAUUAUGUUGUCCCUUGUGGAUACAUGCCAGUGUGGGGCAUAAAAGUUCCACUUUGUGUAGAGAAGUUAGUUGAGGGUUUAGUGGAUUAGAGGCAGUCUCUCCUCCUCUCUAAUGUAGCUUUGAUGUUUUUUGAGGAAUUGACUUGGUUGGGGGAUUGGAAAUCCCUCUCCUUCUCAUUUACUGGAGCUGUAACACCAUGAGGACAUAGGGAGCCUCCUCCUGUGACCAGCCACCGUUGAAAUAGUGAAGUAAAAUACGACAGGUCUGAGAAGAGGGGCUGGCAGAACCUCACAUACAAUGGUUGCAUGAUGGGAGUGUUCACCCUGGGAGGUGAGUAGGAUACAAAAUAACGUCCCCAGGCAGAUGCUGGAACUGUACCUCUUUCCUACAUGAACAGAGAUUAAAUAUCUGCUAGACUCAAGGUUUAAAAGAAAGCAGGAUUUUUGCCUAUCUUUUGAAAGACAAAAGCAGCUUCAGUUUCUGAAAUUAAAGAGCCAAAGUCAGAAAUCACUAGCAAAGAUGGGCACUUCCCUGUGAUGUGGUUCGAGCUGGCCAAACACAAGCAGCAGAGCUUGCUUGUCAAGGUCUUUGUUCCUCACAGGCAAGGGAGCUUGGCAUCAUAAUGCUGCACUUUCUAUAAAUUCCACUAUAGGACCAUAACUAUAGUGUUGCAGUGUCUACCAAACAGCCACUUGGUGCUUCCCUGCCAGCUCCCAUGCUGCAGACUGCAGGGGACACUCCUCCGCGCUCAGGAGUGCAGAGGGUUGGCUAAAGGUGUUAGCCCUUUCCUCGGGAGGAGACGGUUGGCGAUGGUGAAGGAAGGGAGUAGGCAAUUCAGAAGGUAAUUAGUCCAAAGCUUUAUUAGGAGCCACGAGGAGCUCGAGGAGCUCCUAGUCUCAGGGGUUACAGCUCCAAAAAGCCUUGGGAAUCAUAGGAGCAGUAUCUUUUAUUCAGGGAUGGUACCAAAGGAGGGGGUUCAACUACCCACCAAUAGGGGAUCAAGAGGGUGUGAAUUGGGAGAUAAUUGACAACUAGGACAACCUUUCCGGAAACUUUGUGGGAGGGAUCCCUGAUCUUUGACUAAUCAAUCAAUGCCCUUUAUGGAAGAUUCCAGAGACAGGGGUGGAGAACUGAGUGACAGACAAGGCACUGGGGAGGGGAUUUGAGGACUGACAGGGAAGUUUCCAGUGAAAUGAAAAGUGGGGAUAGGAUUGACAUUGGGGAAAGGGAGAUAUCUUAGGGUGCAGCCACAAACAGGGAGGGGGGGAAUCAAGAACGAAUCAAAUAACGCAACACAACACUACAGGAGUAUAACUACAGGGGCAUCUCAUGGAGUUGGUGAUUAUGGUUUCUUCAGUGCGGAGCUCUUCACUUCUUCCCUGUGUAUGUGUCUGUCUACCCCAGGGAGAAAACAGUGAUUUGUGAGAAGCAAGUUUGUGUGCUGGGUUAUUGUCGUGGUUUGAGAGGAAGUGAGUUUUUGGGAGGUGGUGGUGGUCAAACCAAUAGGUGCUCAGAUGUGAAUAUUGGCACCUGGUUUGGCCAUUGAGGAUAUGGAUACGCCUCUGAGAAC